rnacentral:rRNA from 1 species
CUACGGGGGAAAGCAGGGGAUCUUCGGACCUUGCGCUAAUAGAUGAGCCUAAGUCAGAUUAGCUAGUUGGUGGGGUAAAGGCCUACCAAGGCGACGAUCUGUAGCGGGUCUGAGAGGAUGAUCCGCCACACUGGGACUGAGACACGGCCCAGACUCCUACGGGAGGCAGCAGUGGGGAAUAUUGGACAAUGGGCGAAAGCCUGAUCCAGCCAUGCCGCGUGUGUGAAGAAGGCCUUUUGGUUGUAAAGCACUUUAAGCGAGGAGGAGGCUACUUAGAUUAAUACUCUAGGAUAGUGGACGUUACUCGCAGAAUA